ACAUAAGUUGUAGGGAUGGUCUCAGUUCCUAACCAUGGCUUUGAAAGAACUCAGUGGGGAAACCCCCACUCAGCUCCCGAUUCUGCGUGCACCCAAGAAUCACGAAUAGAACA
rnacentral:pre_miRNA from 7 species